GACGAACCGUGCAAACGUUAUUCGGAAUCACUGGGCUUAAAGGGCGCGUAGGCGGGCAGGCAAGUCAGGGAUGAAAGCCCACGGCUCAACCGUGGAAGCGCCUUUGAUACUGCCGGUCUCGAGGGAGGUAGGGGCGUGCGGAAUUCCCGGUGUAGCGGUGAAAUGUGUAGAGAUCGGGAGGAACACCGGUGGCGAAGGCGGGUCUCUGGGCAAUUCCUGACGCUGAGGCGCGAAAGCGUGGGGAGCAAACGGG
rnacentral:rRNA from 1 species